UGUCAGGGUGGAGCAGUGGUAGCUCGUCGGGCUCAUAUCCCGAAGGUCGCGGGUUCGAGUCCCGCCCCUGCAACCA
rnacentral:tRNA from 1 species